GAACACAUGUUGAUAGUGGGCCUCAUGCAGGAACCGAUCUUACCAGCAGGUUCAUUCUGCAGUGACACAUUGACCUUCACCCUCAACCUCAUUUGGACCAGAGAAGAAGAAACACAGGACAACUCACAUGAAGCUCACCAAGACUUCUCUGAUCAAUGCUAACUGCACAGCAUCUCAGACCCCUCCCCCUAGCGUCUUCUCGCCUGGCCCUCUCCUCUCUUCCCCCCCUCCAGCGGCUCCUGUUUGGGGUCCCGUCGCCGUCUCUGAGCCUGGCACGGCCCACGAGUCUGGAGACCGACUCUCUGGUUCCAGUGGCACUGAAUCAGGUGAGGCUCAUGUGGAGACAGAAGGGUUCUCUCCCCAGGCUGAGGCAGUUGACUCAUGGAGGCCGAAUACAUGGCCAGCCUCAUCCGCGAGAGAGAAACACGUCCAUGUCCCGGCAUGUGGACCCUCCCGAUUCAGUGCCCACUCCCUGUCGGCGGCCUCCCGAGCUCCUGCCAACAUUGCAAAUGAUAUAAAAAUACUUGUAGUGCAGAUUUCAUGUCGGGUUGUCAAUGAGGAAUACAACAAAGAAACAGCCAUCACAUUCACACCUACAGGCAAUUCAGAGUGUCCAGUUCACCUGUAUUUGGACUGUGGGAGGAGGUCACCUGUUCCUCCUUCCCCAUUUUACACCCUUGUAUAUAUAUAUAUUCCGGUCCAUUUCCACCGAACACUGCCAGAG